rnacentral:misc_RNA from 1 species
GAUGAAGAACGUAGCGAAAUGCGAUAAGUAAUGUGAAUUGCAGAAUUCAGUGAAUCAUCGAAUCUUUGAACGCACAUUGCGCCCCCCAGUAUUCUGGCGGGCAUGCCUGUUCGAGCGUCAUUUCAACCAUCAAGCCCUGCUUGUGUUGGGGUCCUGCGGCUGCCCGCAGGCCCUGAAAACCAGUGGCGGGCUCGCUAGUCACACCGAGCGCAGUGGCACAUCUCGCUCAGGGCGUGCGGCGGGCUCCAGCCGUUAAAGCACCCACCUUUCGCAAGGUUGACCUCGGAUCAGGUAGGAAUACCCGCUGAACUUAAGCAUAUCAAUAAGCGGAGGA